GAGUGUGAUCAUACCAGCACUAAAUCACCGGAUCCUAUCAAAACUCCGAAGUUAAGCGUGCUUGGGCGAGAGUAGUACUAGGAUAAGAUGGUAGAACAACAUUUUUUGUUUCAUGAU
rnacentral:rRNA from 1 species